UCUAGUAUAAGCAAUCUAUACGGUGAAACUGCGAAUGGCUCAUUAUAUCAGUUAUCGUUUAUUUGAUAGUACCUUACUACUUGGAUAACCGUGGUAAUUCUAGAGCUAAUACAUGCUAAAAACCCCGACUUCGGAAGGGGUGUAUUUAUUAGAUAAAAAACCAAUGCCCUUCGGGGCUCCUUGGUGAUUCAUAAUAACUUAACGAAUCGCAUGGCCUUGUGCCGGCGAUGGUUCAUUCAAAUUUCUGCCCUAUCAACUUUCAAUCGUAUGGUCUUGGCUUACGAUGGUUUCAACGGGUUUCGGGGAAUUAGGGUUCUAUUCCGGAGAGGGAGCCUGAGAAACGGCUACCACAUCCAAGGAAGGCAGCAGGCGCGCAAAUUACCCAAUCCCGAUACGGGGAGGUAGUGACAAUAAAUACUGAUACAGGGCUCUUUUGGGUCUUGUAAUUGGAAUGAGUACAAUUUAAAUCCCUUAACGAGGAACAAUUGGAGGGCAAGUCUGGUGCCAGCAGCCGCGGUAAUUCCAGCUCCAAUAGCGUAUAUUAAAGUUGUUGCAGUUAAAAAGCUCGUAGUUGAACCUUGGGCCUGGUUGGUCGGUCCGCCUCACCGCGUGCACUGAUCCGAUCGGGCCUUUCCUUCUGGGGAGCCGCAUGCCCUUCACUGGGUGUGUCGGGGAACCAGGACUUUUACUUUGAAAAAAUUAGAGUGUUCAAAGCAGGCCUAUGCUCGAAUACAUUAGCAUGGAAUAAUAGAAUAGGACGUGUGGUUCUAUUUUGUUGGUUUCUAGGACCGCCGUAAUGAUUAAUAGGGAUAGUCGGGGGCAUCAGUAUUCAAUUGUCAGAGGUGAAAUUCUUGGAUUUAUUGAAGACUAACUACUGCGAAAGCAUUUGCCAAGGAUGUUUUCAUUAAUCAGUGAACGAAAGUUAGGGGAUCGAAGACGAUCAGAUACCGUCGUAGUCUUAACCAUAACUAUGCCGACUA
rnacentral:rRNA from 1 species